GAUGAACGCUAGCGACAGGCUUAACACAUGCAAGUCGAGGGGCAGCAUGAUUUGUAGCAAUACAGAUUGAUGGCGACCGGCGCACGGGUGAGUAACGCGUAUGCAACUUACCUAUCAGAGGGGGAUAGCCCGGCGAAAGUCGGAUUAAUACCCCAUAAAACAGGGGUCCCGCAUGGGAAUAUUUGUUAAAGAUUCAUCGCUGAUAGAUAGGCAUGCGUUCCAUUAGGCAGUUGGCGGGGUAACGGCCCACCAAACCGACGAUGGGUAGGGGUUCUGAGAGGAAGGUCCCCCACAUUGGUACUGAGACACGGACCAAACUCCUACGGGAGGCAGCAGUGAGGAAUAUUGGUCAAUGGACGAGG
rnacentral:rRNA from 1 species